rnacentral:rRNA from 2 species
UACGGAGGGUGCGAGCGUUGUCCGGAAUCAUUGGGCGUAAAGGGCGCGUAGGUGGCGGGACAAGCGUGCGGUGAAAGCUCGGGGCUCAACCCCGAGUCGGCCGUGCGAACUGUUUUGCUUGAGCACUGUAGAGGCAGGCGGAAUUCCGGGUGUAGCGGUGGAAUGCGUAGAGAUCCGGAAGAACACCGGUGGCGAAGGCGGCCUGCUGGGCAGUAGCUGACACUGAGGCGCGACAGCGUGGGGAGCAAACAGG